GAAAUGCGAUAAGUGAUGUGAAUUGCAGAAUUCAGUGAAUCAUCGAAUCUUUGAACGCACCUUGCGCUCCUUGGUAUUCCUUGGAGCAUGCCUGUUUGAGUAUCAUGAAAUCUUCAAAGUAAAUCUUUUGUUAACUCAAUUGGUUUCUACUUUGGUAUUGGAGGUCUUUGCAGCUUCACACCUGCUCCUCUUUGUUCAUUAGCUGGAUCUCAGUGUUAUGCUUGGUUCCACUCGGCGUGAUAAGUUAUCUAUCGCUGAGGACACUGUAAAAGGUGGCCAAGGUAAAUGCAGAUGAACCGCUUCUAAUAGUCCAUUGACUUGGACAAUACUUUUAUGAUCUGAUCUCAAAUCAGGUAGGACUACCCGCUGAACUUAAGC
rnacentral:misc_RNA from 1 species